GGCCAGCAGCCGCGGUAAUACAGAGGUCCCGAGCGUUGUUCGGAUUCACUGGGCGUAAAGGGUGCGUAGGUGGUGAGGUAAGUCGGAUGUGAAAGCUCGGAGCUCAACUCCGAAAUGGCAUUGGAAACUACCUUGCUUGAGGGUUGGAGGGGGGACUGGAAUUCUCGGUGUAGCAGUGAAAUGCGUAGAGAUCGAGAGGAACACCAGUGGCGAAGGCGAGUCCCUGGACAACACCUGACGCUGAGGCACGAAAGCUAGGGGAGCAAACAGGAUUAGAUACCCUGGUAGUCCUAGCCGUAAACGGUGCGCGCUUGCUGUAGGCGGAAUCGACCCCGUCUGUGGCGAAGCCAACGCGAUAAGCGCGCCGCCUGGGAAGUACGGUCGCAAGAUUAAAACUCAAAGGAAUUGACGGGGGCCCGCACA
rnacentral:rRNA from 1 species